AGGAUUUACAGUGAUAGCUUUUGUUUUCAUUCUGUAGUCUACUUUGUCCCCAGUCCAUUUUCACCCUCCUUUUUUGAUGAUGUGAUUGUGUUUUAUUCUCUAGCAUCUAUUGCUGGCACCAUCUGACGUGGCAGGCUGGGGGAUUUUUAUCAAAGAUCCUGUGCAGAAAAAUGAAUUCAUCUCAGAAUACUGUGGAGAGAUUAUUUCUCAAGAUGAAGCUGACAGAAGAGGGAAAGUGUAUGAUAAAUACAUGUGCAGCUUUCUGUUCAACUUGAACAAUGGUAUGUUUCAGAGCUGGGAGGCAGUGAGUUCCUGAGUUGCAUGUGGCAGCCUUCUGCCGGCCGAGUGUUCAGAAACGAGGGUAGAGGUCAGUGAGGUGACCAGAAGGAGGAUCUCCUUAGAGGCAUGGGGGGC
rnacentral:lncRNA from 1 species